GUUUCACAUACUCUGUAGAGCAAGGCACUUGAAGAGGCUGUUAGCUUCAGGAUUGUUUCUUGACACGGGUUGUUAUGCGAAACCAUAAGCUGGAUUCUCCCGUUCCAUCAAAACAGAUGUUGCCACCAUCCCAAGGACAAGUCUGGUGAAUCUACAUGGAAAUAACAUAUCUGCUGAGAUAAGGAGACCCAAACUGCACACAGGACUGCAGCAUCAUCUGCGUCUUCCUGAAAGAUGUCCAAUUCUCUAACCUACCUCCACACUUUGCUGCUUUGUCUACCUUAAGUUUUGAAUUGGACAAUGCUCAUUGACCACCUUUUGUUAGCCACAGGUAAUUCCGCUUUCUUGUUGGGUUCUGCUUU